GACGAACGCUGGCGGCGUGCUUAACACAUGCAAGUCGAACGGAAAGGCCCUGCUUUUGUGGGGUGCUCGAGUGGCGAACGGGUGAGUAAUACGUGAGUAGCCUUUCCUUGACUGUGGGCUUACUUCAGGUAACUGUGGUUAAUGCCGGAAAGGCGCUCCUGCUGCAUGGUGGGGGUUGGAAUGGUUCGGCGGUUGGGGAUGGACUCGCGGCUUAUCAGCUUGUUGGUGGGGUGGUGGCUUACCAAGGCUUUGGCGGGUAGCCGGCCUGGGAGGGUGACCGGCCACAUUGGGACUGAGAUACGGCCCAGACUCCUACGGGAGGCAGCAGUGGGGAAUAUUGCACAAUGGGCGGAAGCCUGAUGCAGCAACGCCGCGUGCGGGAUGACGGCCUUCGGGUUGUAAACCGCUUUCGCCUGUGACGAAGCGUGAGUGACGGUAAUGGGUAAAGAAGCACCGGCUAACUACGUG
rnacentral:rRNA from 1 species